rnacentral:lncRNA from 1 species
ACGGCACCCGGCCAAAUAUUUACUUCUAAGGGUGCUUAUGAUUCAUGUUUGGGGGCAAAUGUAUUACAUAAUUCAUGUGUCAGUACCCCCUUGCAACACAGCAGGAGGCACAUAAUGUCAGAUCUCCUACUAUAAGAAGAUUAAAGAGAUUAACCAGAGGCCUUAUCAUGCAGGCACCUUUUCUUCUUUGUGCUUUUGAACCAUGAAUAAUUUAAAGUGUAUUGUUAAAGUGUAUUGUUUAAUUUUUAAGUAUUUGAAAUUUAUACUUCUUUGGAAGAAAAGUUAAAUAUUAAAUAUGAACUCGAUUGAACGUGGACACAAAGAAAGGUCACCAAGUCCUGGAACAGGUUGUGUGAGCCCCUUGAGGCAUUCAUCCAACACCAUUUCCGAGAAAUCUCUGUUUCAAUCUGUUCCUGUAUGUUAGUUAUUGAAAAACAAGUUGACCUUUUUGUGUUCCUUGAGCCCAGUCAUGAAUGGCCCUUGUGACUGGGCCUCACACCAAACAACUCAUUACACAAAGAGGUAAGGUCCCAGACCACGCCAAAGCUUCCUGAGACCUCUCCUCAUCUGUGCAUGGACGGAUGACCAACUCUGGGGCCCAGGCUGUUGCUUCCCAGUAUAAUGAUGAAUCCGCCAUAGUCUGGUGAGUGUAGAGGCUGACUCUGGAGCCCAGGCUGUACCUUCUCGGUCUGGUGAUGAAUCCUCAAUCGUGUGAUGGAGUCUCGCUCUGUCACCCAGGCUGGAGUGCAGUGCAGUGGUGCGAACUCGGCUCAUUGCUGGAUCUUACGUCCUUCACCCAGAAACCAUUAUGAGUAGUUACUGAAUAAUUCGGUGGGAAUUCAAAAAGGAAUACUGCAUUUCUUCUGACCCGCCUAAGGUGUUCACAUACUAAUGAAGAAGACAGAAGCAAACACCAAAGAUUAUAGUAACUAAUAUUAACAUGAACAAACACCUAUGGGAGUAAAGAGAAGAAAGUGAUUAAUUUCUUCUUGUCUACUUUCUUGUCUACUCCUUGAGAGCAAAAACUAUUUAUUUCAUGUUCAAAAAAUAUCACCCAUAGACAAGUGCCUGUCUCAUUGUAACCAUUCAAUAAAUAUUUGUUUAAUACAUAAAUAAAUACAAUUUUAAAAGUAAUUUGAAAUGUUUCACAGAGAAAGUUAUAUUUGUAUAAGUCUUAAAAGUAAGAAAGGAUACUUCCAGGAGAAAAGUGGUAGAAAGAGCAUUCCAGGCAGAAAGGAUAACGUGAGCAAAAUUAUACAAAGAUAAAAAUGAAUGGUGUGACUGAGGAGAAGUAAUUAUUCGGUUAUAGCAAAUAAUGCCAUAUAUACUUAAGGCUUUUUCUAAAAAAGGUUUUUUAGGCUCAGAUGAUGAGUGAAGAUGUAUGACAACCUAAGGAAAUGGGACAUUAUUCUGUAGGUAAUUAGAAAUCACUGAUGAUUUUCAAGUUACAGGAUGAGAACUUGUCUGAGUUCUUUGUACUAAUGGAGAGGAAAACAGGAAAGAGUAUGUCAAAAACCUCUGUAUUUUUAAAGCAUUGUAAAAAUAAAGAUUCAAAAAUACUCUCAACACAUUGUACAAAAUUUUAUUCAAAGAUUAAGAUGUGCUGCUUUCCAUACAGGUAAUUUUGUUCAAAAGUUGGCAUCUAACCUCUUAGACAAGCUGAGUAGUAACCAAAUGAUGCCAUGUGUUACUGUGCUUUUAUUUUUAACCUCAUGAACCUCUGAUAUUUUAAUUCAAUAUCAGAUUAUUUCUUUGUAGGAGAUGCUUUGGGGAUAUGGACAGGAAUUGUAUUUAUGAACUGUAGUGGCCAUUAGCCAUUUCCAAUUUAGUGGAAUCAGAACUUGUUUUUAUAAUCACACAAAUGCUCUGGGUUUAAAAACUACUUCUUUAGGAGUAUGUGAGGACUUACAGCCAAUAAUGUUUGUCAUUAGCUUACCAUAAAAAUAUCCAGGGUUUAUGACUUGAUGCCUUCUAUUUUUGCUGCAAUCCUAGUGACUAAUAUGUACAUUUAUGAGCUGUAUUUUAUCAUUUGAAAGACCUUGAAAUAUUUUUUUUAUCAGUAGGAAGUUGGAUAUUUUCCAUGAGCAUAAGAAAAAGCUCUAAAUAAUAUAUUCAGAAAGCUUUAAAAUAAUCAGUAGACGGUUUUAAAACAAAAACUAAAGAUACAGGAGUGAGGAUGAUUCUAAUGACCCAUUAAUGCUCCUGCCUCCACUGCAGUCAUUAUAGCACAAAAAAAAUCAGCUUUAAAUUCUUUCUGUAGCUGAGGAUGUACAUGUAGUUUCAAGCUGCCCUUUCAUGACAGCUGCUUUGCAAUAUAGAUAUAUAUAUUUCAGAAUAAUGUAUUUUAAAAAGCAUGCUAUUGUAACAUUUCUAUGUAUACUUCCCAACUGUCCUUCACAUCUGUUGUUGUCCAAAGGUGGUGUAUGUCUCCUCAGUAUAAUAAUUUUCAGGUCCAUAGUCAUGCAAAGUUAAAUAUGUACACUUGAAAGAUAAGCUGUAUAGGUAAACCAAAAUAUGAUUUUGUUGACUUUAAGAAUUAUUUUAAUUGGUUUACGAAUUUAUAUUCACUUAUGUAAUCUUUAAGUGCUUUAAGAUACUACAUAUGUGAUACCAAAAAAAAAAAAUCAUUAGUCAAGGCCAAAGUAAUUGUUAGCAGUAUUUAAUGCAUGCAAGACAUCGUAUUUUGGUCACUGAUAUAAUCAUUUAUGAGUAACCUAUUACAAUUUGCACAGAAGUGACCUUUUCCUUGUAAGUAAAGGGCACAUUUUACAGCUUUCUGAACAUGUCUUAUCUACUUAAGAAGUUUGAGAAAAUAUAAGAUGUGGUGACAUUUAAUUUUAUUCUAGUUCAUUGCCAUUAACUUCCUGAUGCUGACUUUUAGAUAGUCAUAUAUGGUCCUUUGUUAAGACAAA